GACGAACGCUGGCGGCGUGCUUAACACAUGCAAGUCGAACGGAAAGGCCCUGCUUUUGUGGGGUGCUCGAGUGGCGAACGGGUGAGUAACACGUGAGUAACCUGCCCUUGACUUUGGGAUAACUUCAGGAAACUGGGGCUAAUACCGGAUAGGAGCUCCUGCUGCAUGGUGGGGGUUGGAGAGUUUCGGCGGUUGGGGAUGGACUCGCGGCUUAUCAGCUUGUUGGUGGGGUAGUGGCUUACCAAGGCUUUGACGGGUAGCCGGCCUGAGAGGGUGACCGGCCACAUUGGGACUGAGAUACGGCCCAGACUCCUACGGGAGGCAGCGGUGGGGAAUAUUGCACAAUGGGCGGAAGCCUGAUGCAGCAACGCCGCGUGCGGGAUGACGGCCUUCGGGUUGUAAACCGCUUUCGCCUGUGACGAAGCGUGAGUGACGGUAAUGGGUAAAGAAGCACCGGCUAACUACGUG
rnacentral:rRNA from 1 species